ensembl:lncRNA
GAAGGCUGUGAGGAAGCCACAUGCUGUUUUUCAUCUCCCAGCAUUGUACCCUUACUCCUCCUCUUUAUAUUGAAGUAACACAGUGAAACAUGCUGUGUGUAUCUGGGGGAGGAGAGGAAAACAGAGAAGUUGCAACUAUGGGGAUGGAUUUGGAGCAAUCCAGAUUUCAUUUGCCCCCUUUCCACAAGAAGGUUGUGGAAGCUGUGCUCCUGACCCAUUUGUUCUUCCAUUACGCUGUAAUGUUUGGAAAAAUACACAGCAGGAUUUAUGGAAAGUGCUUCAAAGCCUAAUUUUCCUCUCCAAAUCUCCAGCAGGUAUCUCUCCGAGCUCCGCUUCACAUGAAUCUCUCUCUGUUGUGCUCAGGCCUUGAAAUCACCCAAGGUCACUACUGCAAAACACAGCGUGCCCUGAGGACCUCCCCAGCCUUUCUGCACAGGUGUGAGCUGGCUCAUGAUGAUGACAGUAUCCACUGAGGACCAGAAAACUAUAAACAGUACUAUAAACUCAAAGAUGUGUGUAUGGCACCAGAGGUAAAGCAUUCCCAUACUGAUGUGGAAUCUAAUUCCAGCCAAUGAUUUGUAACAAUCAUGAACUUAACCUGGAAGGAGACAGGAAAGCAGUCAUGUGAGGUAAAUGGGCUUUGUCUCCCCAAAGCCUUCUCUCUUGAAAUGAUUUCCUCAUUAAUGCACUCCUUCCUAAAUUCUACUUUAGCUCUCAUUUGCAUUUUUGAGUUCUUAAGGCUGUUUUCAGAUGUACUGUAUACACGCCAAAGGCCAUGUAAAUGCAGGCUCUACACUGAGCUCAGUGAACUUCAGCCAAUUUAUUCUAGUUGAGUAACUGUCCAGGUGAAUCCAGAUUUCUUUACUCAUUUUUCAGCAGAAUAAACUGUAAUCAGCCUCUCUGUAAAUAUGCAUCUUAUAUACCCAAUAUUAACUAGAUCUAAUCAGCUUAAUUAUGUGGUUAAUAAUAAUUCAAGUUCAUGCAGCAUAAUCUUCUAUUUAAAGUGGGUACAAUAUUUUACAGUAUCUGAAAAAUGGCUUGGCUUAAUAAACAGAUGGAAGAAAAAUAUCUUUAAAAAGAGAAUUAAAGGACAACUCUUGAAUGCAGAUUGCAGCAUUACCCAAAGAACAUUCACACACAAAUCCUUCUUCCAGAGAAGUGCUGCACAACAGGCGUUCACCAACAAAAGGAUUUCCAAUACUAUUUGAAAUCCUGUUCUGGCUUCUACAGUGCAAAUCUGUCUCCUCAUCUGCAGGAGAGCUCAAAAACAGUACAGUUGUGUUCUACUGUGCAAGUGCCAACCCUACGGCAGUGCCAAUUCUGUACUGUAUAAACCGUUUUGUAUCUCUAUUUCUACCUGCUAUCUCUUUUGCCUCACUGGUACAAACAAAUGUUGUUUUGGUGCAAGGCACUGCAGAAUGAGUCUGGAUGCAUUGGCAUACUUCUGAGUUCACUUCCUGAACCGUAUUAAUAUCUAAUAAUUAAAAACCGUUUUCAAAUACUUAAAAUUCAUGUUUCACUAAAGAUGGUUAUACCCAACACCCACAUUUUGACCACUUUUGGUUUAUAAUUAUCCUUUUCUAAUUCUUCCAUAUUUACUUAUUGUAACUCUAUAUAUCAUAUACAGCAUUUAAUGCUAUAUUUUAAACUGCAGACAGCAAAUCAAAAUGCUUCAGCUCUGUUUUUCAUGGUUCAGACAUGUCUGAAAUAUAAUGAGAGCAGGGAUUUGUCUGCCCUGAUUUAAUUACUACAAUCCAGAUAACUCUGUCAAUCAAUUUUUCUCCUUGUGACUCCUGGCAGGGUGAAAAAUGCCUUCAUUAUAAGGACUGAUCAUUAGUGGAUGUGAAGUUGAGAAGAUGAUGAAGAUGAGUUGUUGGGUCUGGCAGAGAAUUGACCCAUCAGUGUCAUUAAGUGAACUGCGGCAAGCCCAGCAAUUCCCAUGGGGCAAAUCAUUGAAUUCCUCAGGAGCAAAGGUCUGUGUCUGUCUAUACCAAAGCACUUUGAAAUGUACACACAUGCAGUUUGCAGUAGUCUGAUGGAUAACUAAACAAUUACACAGGCAGUAACUGAUUUGUCCUUCUCUUUUCAUGAAAGAAACAACCUUUAAGGUACUGUGUUUUAGUUUCCUUUCUAUGUGACGGUUUAAAUAACGUUUAUAUCCACUGCCCUUUCAACUCUGUAUUACCAAAGUUAGCUCCAAGCUGCAUGCACCUCCCAACACACAAAAGCUCUGUAUUAAAAAUGUUAAUUGCAAUUCUGAGUUCUUUUCCUUCUAAAUACUGAACGACAAGACCGGCUCUCUGAGCUCUAAGGAAUUUGUAAUCAAUGUUUUUCACAUAGCUGUAAAAACACCUUCCUGUAGAGCAGCCUCAGUGACAAGCAACUGAAUGAAAAACGAGCACUGUAUGUUCAAUGUUUUUUUCUAAACUAUGCUUUAAUUGCAAACGGUAAUUUUACGUAAUUGACCUAUUAAUCAUAAAAUAAAAUUUAAAAAAGGAGGAAAAUUGUUACAAACCAAAAUAUUGCUAGGAGAGCAGUACUCACACAGAGAACAUUCUGUUGGAAUCAAAGGCAUAUGCAGGGGAUCAUAAUACGGAGGCAGGGAUGCUGUGCAGGUUACUGUCAUUGUGCUGCUUUUAGAGUAAGUUGUAGAGGACACCGUGUGGGGAUUCAGGGCUAUGUGCUAUAAGCCCCCAGGCACCGCAGUCUGACCUCUCCAGCUUUCAGGCUGCAGAGUCGGGCAGUUCUUGCAGUGCCCAUUUCAGCUCCUGUGCUAAUUCUUCCCUGGUGGACUACAAACAUUUACUGAGAAGAUUUAAUUGUGAGGUCUUUGGUUGCUAGCACAUGAUUCAAACUUCAGAUUGAAGGCAAUUUAAACACACGAGUGUGCAAGCAGGGAGAUGCAAAGCAUGCAAGCAACCUUUGGCAGGAGUACAGAGAGAAUACAG